UGCCCCGGGAUCCAGGAGCCAUGGAGGAGGAGAAACCGGGGGAAGGGACCAGCGGGAGAAAGGAGCUGUUCUCCUGAAGAGAAGCAGCCAGCAGGGAUUCCAGGACAAGGCGGGGACCCCAGUGUGCCGCUGACUGAUGGCUGUGUCCUUGGAACAGAAGGGAAUUCAACCUCCUCCUGCUGAACACUGUUGGCUAAAGACACGCUGACAAGUGGCCCAAGUUCUCCCCACGGACCCCCAACCCCACC